rnacentral:rRNA from 1 species
UGGGGAAUAUUGCACAAUGGGCGCAAGCCUGAUGCAGCAACGCCGCGUGAGGGACGACGGCCUUCGGGUUGUAAACCUCUUUUAGUAGGGAAGAAGCGAAAGUGACGGUACCUGCAGAAAAAGCACCGGCUAACUACGUGCCAGCAGCCGCGGUAAUACGUAGGGUGCGAGCGUUGUCCGGAAUUAUUGGGCGUAAAGAGCUCGUAGGCGGUCUGUCGCGUCUGCUGUGAAAACCCGAGGCUCAACCUCGGGCCUGCAGUGGGUACGGGCAGACUAGAGUGCGGUAGGGGAGAAUGGAAUUCCUGGUGUAGCGGUGGAAUGCGCAGAUAUCAGGAGGAACACCGAUGGCGAAGGCAGUUCUCUGGGCCGUAACUGACGCUGAGGAGCGAAAGCGUGGGGAGCGAACAGGAUUAGAUACCCUGGUAGUCCACGCCGUAAACGUUGGGCGCUAGAUGUGGGGACCAUUCCACGGUUUCCGUGUCGCAGCUAACGCAUUAAGCGCCCCGCCUGGGGAGUACGGCCGCAAGGCUAAAAC